rnacentral:rRNA from 1 species
GUGGGGAAUUUUGGACAAUGGGGGCAACCCUGAUCCAGCCAUUCCGCGUGAGUGAAGAAGGCCUUCGGGUUGUAAAGCUCUUUCGGCAGGAACGAAACGGUGAGCUCUAACAUAACUCGCUAAUGACGGUACCUGAAGAAGAAGCACCGGCUAACUACGUGCCAGCAGCCGCGGUAAUACGUAGGGUGCGAGCGUUAAUCGGAAUUACUGGGCGUAAAGCGUGCGCAGGCGGUUGUGUAAGACAGGUGUGAAAUCCCCGGGCUUAACCUGGGAACUGCGCUUGUGACUGCACGGCUAGAGUAUGGCAGAGGGGGGUGGAAUUCCACGUGUAGCAGUGAAAUGCGUAGAGAUGUGGAGGAACACCGAUGGCGAAGGCAGCCCCCUGGGCCAAUACUGACGCUCAUGCACGAAAGCGUGGGGAGCAAACAGGAUUAGAAACCCCGGUAGUCC